UUUUUUUUUUUGACAUGGCUUCUUGUAAAACAAACUUUCCAAGAGGCAACAAUGUGUAAUUGAUAUUUUGACCAGUCAGCAUGAGUGUAACAGUGACAACCUGAUCUAUUCCUUUUAAAGAUAAUUACCUAGUAAAAAAUUCAGAAUGAUUAAAAUUUACACUAACAUGCUCUAUAAAAAUGUUCAAGUCUGAUGCUGUGAAAGCAAUCUAGUGCUAUAUUUCUACCUCCUCAUUUGUCUUAAUUAUUUGGUAAGUGGGAUUAUGAUGAAUAACUGGAGGGGCUUAGCAAACAAAAACUGGAUGAAAGAAUAUGCAUGAAAAAACAGCUUCUUGUUUGAUAAAUGUGGAGUUCUUCAUUACCAGUAUAUAUUCACAAAUUCACAGAUGUUACUUAAAGAAAGCACAGACAGUUUACUUGGCCUAAAAAUAUUUUAAUGUUUACUCAAAAAGCACCUCUUCAGGUCUUGAGAACAUGGAAAAGAACAGAGGGCUUUUCGAUAGUUACUUUUUAAAAGUAAUUAUAAUCAACUCUGCAUUUCAAACCUGUUUAAUUUGGUUUUGUGAACCUUUGAACUAUAUGUAUGUGUGUAAGGACAUGACGUACAUAUAUGGCAUAUAGAUAAACUAUACAUACCGAGUGUAGAAAUAUAUAUAUAUACACACAUAUGUGCACUCACUCCAUCUAUCUGGUAUAGGCUAAUUUUGGAAGAACUCCCAUAAGUUUUGCUGCUUCUCCCACAACUACUGCCAUCACCAUCAGAAUUCAUAAUCAAACCUAACCUUUUUGUUUGGGGCACCAAAUCCGAAGACAAAAUUAAUUUGCACCAGUAAACUUCAAGCUGCUUUCUUUCUUGAAAAACUAAUGUUUAAUGUAAUGUCUGUUAAGAUACUGUUCCAAAUUGUUGAUUGCAUGUGGUUAAUGUUGCAUUAGAGCACUUUGCAAUUGCGUAAUUCAUUAAUGUUUUGUGAGCUUGCAUUUGUGAGUUACUGAAUGAUCAGAUUGAAUCUUGUCAAGUAUCACAUUGUACAUCUCGCAUAGAUGUCAAUGACUGCCAGUAGUAAUACAGUUUGUAAUGAAACUAUCUAAAAUUCUUGUUUUAUCACAUCUGUUAUCUGUAAAACACUUGUAACUAGCCUUUUUAAUUUAUUAUUUGAAUUUUAGGAUAGUGAAUCACUAAUUUUUAGUUGCUCAUGUUAGCAUUUUAGUGAUUACUAAGCAUUUCUGUCAGUCUUUGAAAAAAGGACACAUGUUUUGUGCUUUGAAGAUCUCUGAAGAAUUUCUCUUAUAUUAGAAUGGGCAUGUAUUGUAAUUGUUUUAUGUCAAAUGAUCUGUGCUAUAGAAAAAACAUUAACCUUUGUUCAAAAAAGAAGCAGAUAAACUUGGCCUUUCCAAGUGGUAAGAAUGAUCUGUCACUAUAAUAUACUGUAUGUUUACAUUUUAUUUAAAUUUAAUCUCUUAUGUAUAGUCUGAUAACUUUCCCCCAAAACAACAGUGAUUGCAAUUGUUUUCUAGAAACUUCUUAAAAGUGCCACAUUUGGCAGUACAAAUGAGUUUGAGUGUAAUAGCCCAGAGAUUUCUAUAUAGUUGAAUGUCUAAAAUGGUAAAAUGUGCCACUGUGACAGUUACAGUGGCUUAUGUUUUUCAUAGUAACUCAAAUGAACUCCUAUUUUUGAUAGUAAAUGUCAUUUAAUAGUGUCUUGCCCUUUGAGUCUCACUGCAAAAUCAGUGCAGAGGAGAAAACAAUUUUUAAUGUAAUCUUAUUUUACCUCAUAUACUGUACAUUCCAAAAACUCUAAACUUUUUAAAGAUUAUAGAUACACUACCAAACAUAUCACCUUAAAAUUGUAUAAGGUUGAACUUCAUACAAAUGGAAAAAUAUAAUCUCAUAAAAAUACAUAAACUAUGUAGCAAAAGUAUCUUUAAAAUCCAUGGAAAAUAAAAGUUGUAUCAUUCUUUUUUGAGAUAUGUUUAUUGUAUUCAUAUACAUUCACUAUUUGCUGCCUCGUUUCGAAAAUGUUAAGAUUUUCCCUCUUCUUGCAAUGGGUGGGCCUACAGUAUUCACAUCUUGAACACAGAGGACCCGUAUUCAAAAAGGGUAAAGUCCAGUAAGUUAAAGAAUGAAAUUAGAAGUUUUAUCCUAGUGACUUGAUUUUGUG
ensembl:lncRNA